rnacentral:rRNA from 1 species
AUUGAACGCUGGCGGCAUGCCUUACACAUGCAAGUCGAACGGCAGCACAGGAGAGCUUGCUCUCUGGGUGGCGAGUGGCGGACGGGUGAGGAAUACAUCGGAAUCUACUCUGUCGUGGGGGAUAACGUAGGGAAACUUACGCUAAUACCGCAUACGACCUACGGGUGAAAGCAGGGGACCUUCGGGCCUUGCGCGAUUGAAUGAGCCGAUGUCGGAUUAGCUAGUUGGCGGGGUAAAGGCCCACCAAGGCGACGAUCCGUAGCUGGUCUGAGAGGAUGAUCAGCCACACUGGAACUGAGACACGGUCCAGACUCCUACGGGAGGCAGCAGUGGGGAAUAUUGGACAAUGGGCGCAAGCCUGAUCCAGCCAUACCGCGUGGGUGAAGAAGGCCUUCGGGUUGUAAAGCCCUUUUGUUGGGAAAGAAAUCCAGCUGGCUAAUACCCGGUUGGGAUGACGGUACCCAAAGAAUAAGCACCGGCUAACUUCGUGCCAGCAGCCGCCGUAA